rnacentral:rRNA from 1 species
AUACCAGCCCCCCGAGUUGUCGGGACGAUUAUUGGGCCUAAAGCAUCCGUAGCCUGUUCUGCAAGUCCUCCGUUAAAUCCACCUGCUCAACGGAUGGGCUGCGGAGGAUACCGCAGAGCUAGGAGGCGGGAGAGGCAAACGGUACUCAGUGGGUAGGGAUAAAAUCCAUUGAUCUACUGAAGACCACCAGUGGCGAAGGCGGUUUGCCAGAACGCGCUCGACGGUGAGGGAUGAAAGCUGGGGGAGCGAACCGGAUUAGAUACCCGGGUAGUCCCAGCUGUAAACGAUGCAGACUCGGUGAUGGGUUGGCUUCGAGCCAACCCAGUGCCGCAGGGAAGCCGUUAAGUCUGCCGCCUGGGGAGUACGGUCGCAAGACUGAAACUUAAAUGAAUUGGCGGGG